UCCGUGUUAUCUUUUUUAAAGAAUGUCUUUCAUGAUCUAAUGGAUGCACAUACUUCUUGUUUAUCUUAGGGGUAGCGAGUUCAAACCCCGGUUUCGAACAAAAUUAUUUGUAUUUUGUGUCCCCUUUUACGUAAACAAGGAAAAAACGAAUUAAUUUUGUAUGUAUCUAGAAACCCAAGGUAUCGCUCUCUCGGACUGUUUUAAUCGCAAAAUACCCCUCAAUUUAUUGUGCGGACUUUUAUACCAGAAAUCUUGCUCCGAUGUAUCAGGUGUAGCUUAUUUUCUGAAAGGAAAUUCAUCUAAUGGUUCGUAAGGGAGGUCAUUUUUUGAUUUUUCAAGUGGUUUUCAUAAUACCCGUGAAAAACCGGGAUAAAAUGUCGGAAAAACCGAAAAUGU